ACGGAAGGCAGCAGUGAGGAAUAUUGGACAAUGGGGGAAACCCUGAUGCAGCGACGCCGCGUGAGUGAAGAAGUAUUUCGGUAUGUAAAGCUCUAUCAGCAGGGAAGAAAAUGACGGUACCUGACUAAGAAGCCCCGGCUAACUACGUGCCAGCAGCCGCGGUAAUACGUAGGGGGCAAGCGUUAUCCGGAUUCACUGGGUGUAAAGGGAGCGUAGACGGAGAAGCAAGUCUGAUGUGAAAGGCAUGGGCUCAACCUGUGGACUGCAUUGGAAACUGUUUUUCUUGAGUGCCGGAGGGGUAAGCGGAAUUCCUAGUGUAGCGGUGAAAUGCGUAGAUAUUAGGAGGAACACCAGUGGCGAAGGCGGCUUACUGGACUGUAACUGACGUUGAGGCUCGAAAGCGUGGGGAGCAAACAGGAUUAGAUACCCUGGUA
rnacentral:rRNA from 1 species